UCCCUGGAGGUCUAGUGAUUAGGCCUUGGCGCUCUCACUGUUGUGUCCUGGGUUCGAUUCCCUGCCAGGGAA
rnacentral:tRNA from 1 species